rnacentral:rRNA from 1 species
GUAGGUGGCAAGCGUUGUCCGGAAUUAUUGGGCGUAAAGCGCGCGCAGGCGGGUUCUUUAAGUCUGAUGUGAAAGCCCACGGGCUCAACCGUGGAGGGUCAUUGGAAACUGGAGAACUUGAGUACAGAAGAGGAAAGCGGAAUUCCACGUGUAGCGGUGAAAUGCGUAGAGAUGUGGAGGAACACCAGUGGCGAAGGCGGCUUUCUGGUCUGUAACUGACGCUGAGGCGCGAAAGCGUGGGGAGCAAACAGGAUUAGAUACCCUGGUAGUCCACGCCGUAAACGAUGAGUGCUAAGUGUUAGGGGGUUUCCGCCCCUUAGUGCUGCAGCUAACGCAUUAAGCACCCCGCCUGGGGAGUACGGCCGCAAGGCUG